UACAGAGGAGCCAAGCGUUGUCCGGAUUGACUGGGCGUAAAGCGCACGCAGGCGGUUGCGCGCGUGGGGUGUGAAAUCUGGCCGCUUAACGGCCAGGCGCCAUCCCAUACGGCGCGACUGGAGGCUUGCAGAGGUCGGUGGAAUUGCCGGUGUAGUGGUGAAAUGCGUAGAGAUCGGCAGGAACACCCGUGGCGCAAGCGGCCACCUAGCCCGUUGCUGACGCUGAGGCGCGACAGCGUGGGGAGCGAACUGG
rnacentral:rRNA from 1 species